AACGAACGCUGGCGGCAGGCUUAACACAUGCAAGUCGAGCGCAUCCUUCGUGGUGAGCUGCGGUCGGGUGUGGAACGCGGGGGAACGUGCCCUCUUCUACGGGAUAGCCUCGUUACGCUGAGAGUAAUGCCGUAUACGCCCGCCAGGUGAAAGAUUGAUCGUAGGAGGAUGGGCCGGCGUUGGAUUAGGUAGGUGGUGGGGUAAGGGCCUAUCACGGCGACGUUCCAUAGCGGGGUUGAGAGGCUGAUCAGCCACACUGGGACUGAGACACGGCCCAGACUAUUACGGGAGGCAGGAGUGGCGAAUCUUGCAAAACCGGGGCAAUCCUGAUGCCGCCAUGGUUCGUGAGCGAUGAAGGUCUUAGAGUUGUAAAGAACUUUAAGCUGCGAAGAUAAUGACGGUACCAGAAGAAGAAGCCCCGGCUAACUCCGUG
rnacentral:rRNA from 1 species